rnacentral:rRNA from 1 species
CCUACGGGUGGCAGCAGUGAGGAAUAUUGGUCAAUGGGCGCGAGCCUGAACCAGCCAAGUAGCGUGAAGGAUGACUGCCCUACGGGUUGUAAACUUCUUUUAUAAAGGAAUAAAGUGAUGCACGUUUGCCUUUUUGCAUGUACUCUCUGAAUAAGGACAGGCUAACUCCGUGCCAGCAGCCGCGGUAAUCCGGAGGGUCCGAGCGUUAUCCGGAUUUAUUGAGUUUAAAGGGAGCGUAGAUGGAUUGUCAAGCGCGUUGUGAAAGUUUACGGCGCAACCGUUGAAUUGCAAGUGUUACUGGCAGGCUUGAGUACAGUUAGGGUAGGCGGAAUUCGUGGUGUAGCGGGGAAAUGCUUAG